rnacentral:rRNA from 1 species
UGGGGGAUAUUGCACAAUCGACGAAACUCUGAUGCAGCGAUGCCGCGUGAGGGAAGAAGGGUUUCGGAUUGUAAACCUCUGUGGAGGGGGACGAUAAUGACGGUACCCCUUUAGGAAGCCACGGCUAACUACGUGCCAGCAGCCGCGGUAAUACGUAGGUGGCGAGCGUUGUCCGGAAUUACUGGGUGUAAAGGGAGCGUAGGCGGGAGAGCAAGUCAGAAGUGAAAAUUAUGGGCUUAACCCAUAACCUGCUUUUGAAUCUGUUUUUCUUGAGUAAGACAGAGGCAAGCGGAAUUCCUAGUGUAGCGGUGAAAUGCGUAGAUAUUAGGAGGAACACCAGUGGCGAAGGCGGCUUGCUGGGUCUUUACUGACGCUGAGGCUCGAAAGCGUGGGGAGCAAACAGG